UCUGUGCGGUUGCAUUGGACGGCAAUUGCAAUAACGGUGCAGUAUUUCAACGUUAAAACAAAUACGUGUGUGAAAAGAUUCAAACAAAACAGUGUCACGGUGUUGCUCUCUGUUGAGGUGUAAUGAAAUCUCGAGUUAAUCAUUUUAACGCCAAUUAAUGUGCUUUACAUUACAACAAUAAAUGUCGCCGGCGUUACAUGCAUAGCGGUUAAUAUCUAAAUAUGUGUGUGUAUGUGAGUGAUUUCUUAGCGAAAUUUACGCGGGAAUAAAUCAGUGGCGGUUUAUUUAAUACAGUGCUUUCGAAUUUUGUAUUUUUUUUUUACAAAAAUGCAUGUAUGUACAGUUAUCCGCUUAAUGCAUAUAUUGAAUAUAUUUCUUUAUAAAUAAUCUACAACGACCACUACAACUCGCAUAAAUUUGUUGAAUUUUCUCUGAAAAUUGAUGUACUUUUAUUAUUGUCCAGAGAUAAGACGAAACGCAACAAAAGCUACAAAUAAAAUUUCCCUUCGCUAAUUUCACUUUCAUUCGAAUCUCGUAAGCGAUAUUGGUGGUGAGCAAACUGUUGCGGCUGGUUGGUAGCCAACACAAACAUUAUUUACAAACUAAGAUACCGUUACAUUAGAACAUUACGAGAUAAAAAGAAAACACAAAAACAAAAACAAAUACGCGCAUAAAGUCUAAUUAACACAACACACCUUACCACCAGCAAAGAGUCGGGCAAGAAGAGGAAGCAGCAAGCAAAGUAUGCGAAUUGUAAAGCAACACAAGCAAAAACAAUGCGAAUUAUAAACGCCCGAAUUGCCGGUCAAAUGGCUGAUACGCUCCAGGAUCAUCGCCAAUAAAGUUACCGUUUGUGUCAACAGCGCUCACAACAACAACAACUAACAUAAUCAAAUUGCAACAAA